GUACGGGCUCCUGGCCCCGCCCCCCCGUCCCGGAGGCGGGGACGGGGUGCAAGGGGAGCAGGAGCAGAUGGGGCAGGGUUAGAAGACCCGGGGACUUGGGGCGGCGGGAGCGGAGACUCUAGAGAGAGCGUGAGAAGAAGCCACAGGCUGCCCGGAUGGAGGAGCGAGGCUGACAGCGCGGUGGCGGCGCCAGGGACCCCGCUGCAGAGAGGCAGCUCUGCUGUCCAGGCCGCCAGCCGGGUCCUGAUGAAGAAUGCAAAUAUAAUGUGGUCUGGAAGGCAAGAUGCUACUGAAUAAAACAAAGCAUAUGUGGAGGUCUGACACAAUGUUUUAGUAUCUUCAACUUGAGAGUGUUGAACAUUUUGUAUUUGUGAGUCAAGCUCUGGGGAAAUAAAGAUGGCUUAUUGAUCUAUGCCCUUGACUUGAAAGUGAGCAAAUCUUAUAUUUUACAUGAUUAGAUAUUUGCUGAGCACCUAGUAUGUUCCAGACACUGACUAGGAGGUGUAUGUGAACUGGUACCAAAAGUUAUGAACAUGUGUAUAAGGCAGUAGAAGAUGCCUGUCAUCUGAGGACAGAACUGCUCAAGAAGUAAAUCUUGUUACCCAGGAAGAUGUACAGAAGCUGUCAUUUGCUUUCUCCUUGCUGGCUGCUGAUCCUAAAGAAGUAGUACAGACACCAUGGACACUCACCUUAAGAUACUGCUACUGAGUUAAGUUAUCAGAGCAACAACACCAACAACAACUACAAUCAGGGGCCAAAGGCCAGAAACCAUGGAUAAGAAAGACCACUCCUCCUGCCCAGUCCUCUUCUGUGCUGCUGGGUUUUCUCUGACAGGAAUGCAUGUAUUUCUUCAAGAGCCCUGUAACCAAGAGCACAGGAGUUUUCUUGGAACCAGAGGCAGAAGGCUUCUGCUCCCUUGUGGCUCAUAUUCUCACUCAGCACCCAAGCAUGUCUUUAUUUGGUGAAGUUCACAGCCUUUCCCUUCCUGCCUCAGCAGCUACUGUCCCAGCCUCAGACCCAGUCACGACAAGUGUGGCUGCUAUGUGGAUCAUGUCUCAGGCAAUUCAGAGAGCCUUUCAGAGAAUAAAGCUUUGGAUUUGACUGUGACUUCUGCUAUGACUCUCUCUUUCUCCUAGAAAACUAUUGUGUUGGAUGAAGCAAGAAGGUGCAAGCUGUAAUGCUGUCAUGAAGGCCAAAGGUUGAGGAAGAAGUUGCCAUUUCUCCUUCCUGUUUACCACUCAAGGCUCUAUCUCCUGAAUCCUUUUUAGAGUUAUUGGUAUCCUGACUUUAUACAUAUACCCUGGUAUUUGAGUACAUAUUACUCGUGCUCACAGCAUUGAUUUAAAGUUAGUGGUUCUACUACCCUCUAGCUCUAUGACUUGGGCAUUCAGUUCUCUGAGCCUCAACUUUCUCCUCUUUAUGAUGGGAGUAGUCAUGUCUGUCUGCUUGGCUGGUCAAAUAAAAUCUCAGCUUCAUAUAUCUGAUACCUUAGGGUCCCCUACCUGAGUAGGAAGCUUGUGUGUUACUUAACACAGCUUUUGCUGCUGAAGAUGACCAUUCCUUCAUCAGCCUCCUGGACAGAUGACCCUCUAGUGUCAGACUGAGCUCUGAAGGAUUGGGAAGCUGCCCUCCUCAGGAGCUCAGAUAGUAAGUUGUUCUUUGUGCUGAUCUCAAACCUGAACCCUCCAGUAACCUUUGCCUGCUGGUUUCUGUGUCAUCUCUGGAUAACAGGGCGUUUAACCUUAAACUCUUCUGUAUCCUGAAGACUACUGUAAAAAGUACCAUUAUUUUUUAAGCUGGCUAUCAAGUAAUCUUUUCAGCUCCUUUGCCUCCUCUGCUCUUGGAGUUCUGAUCUGGAUUGACUGCAUGGAACAGAACAUGGUGCCAGGUGUUCCUGAACAUUCUCAAGGGUCCUUGUAGCAUUGGUAAUAAAACAUUCCCUGAUGACCCUAGAAGCAAGUCUGAUUAUUACUAAUGGUAACUGUCCCCACCCAGAGCGAGUCUGCUCAAAUCCUAGAGCCAUGAUUGGCAAACCAUGUUUCUUAACAUGCUUUAAAUUAUUUUUAACAUGGAAGUAAUUCCCCCUCUAUUGCAUUGCCAUUUCCUUCUCCAGGGGAUCUUCCCUACCCAGGGAUCAAACCCAGGUCUCCUGUAUUGCAUGUGGAUUCUUUACUGCUGAGCUACCAGGGAAGCCAUGCUUUAUUCUAAAAAAUAAUAAAUAUGCAUUAAAUUUAAUAAUAGA